AAGAGGAGAGAACUGACAGAAAAGGCGGGUUGGAGUCAAAUGUGGAAGGCCUUCAGUGUCCUAAGAAAGAGAACAAAAGCCAUUGGAGGCUUUCUAUCAGAGACCAGACAUAUUUGUGUUUUUGAAAGGUAGCAAAGGCAGAUCGAUUGAACCCGGGAGGCGGAGGUUGCAGUGAGCUGAGAUCGCGCCAUUGCACUCCAGCCUGUGUAACAAGAGUGAAACUCUGUCUCAAAAAAAAAAAAAAAAAAAAGGAAGAAAAUCAGACCUUUUCUUCAUACCAGCCACAAAAAUUAGUUCUGGAUAGAUUAAAAAUAAAUUGUAGAAGUACUGGAGAAAAAGCACAUAAAAUGUGAAUCGCCUGAAUGGCAGAAGCCAUUUCACACAUAAACGGAAGAGCGAAGCCAGCCUGGGGGACCGAGGUGCCCAGUCUGGAAGAGGAGGGACAGUGGGGUGGGGGCGGGGUGGGCCCUGGACGUGGCCUGGGGAAGAGUCNNNNNNNNNNCUCAAAAAAAAAAAAAAA
rnacentral:lncRNA from 1 species